UGCUAUGUGUGCAUCCCCUCAGGCUAGGUCUCGGGAGCUAUGAACAAGUAGGAGGGGACGAAAACCAUGCAUCGUAGUGGGCGCUAGAGUGGAGGGGUGACUGUGGAUGUUGACUGUCUCUCUUCAAGUGGGCCUGAUGUAGAUAGGCAGGGAUGAGGGCAAGAUUACCUGCACCAAUUGAAUUUUGUGUAGUGAUGGCUCUUGCUUCGCUCAUUUCCUGCACUUGCAGAGGAAUUGUCCAGGAGCAGCAGCUGAAGGAGAAAGUGGCAGACGCGGACCUGAGGAGCCUGGACAUCCUUCUAAGCAGACAUGAAUGGUCCUCAGAUUUCUGCCUCCCGCACAACUGGCUGUGAGUAAGCGGUCAGUGCUUGGAAUCACUCAUCUGUACUGGCUCCGGUUUUGUUCAGAGGCUCUGAAUUUCUUCAUUGGACACGGUGCUCUGUGGGAUUCAGAUGAGGCAAAGGCACAAGUCUCCUGUGCAGAUGCUGGGUUUAGUACCAAGUGGAGAGUCAGAGUCCACUCCGCACAUGCCAUGGAAAGGGAGCGAGAGCUGGGAGAUUCUAAGCAUUGUUGAUGCCAGGGAAGAGCCAUCCAGCUGGGAGUGGAGCAAGGACCACUGUCAGUGAGAUAUGUGUCUUGUUAGGUGAAGGCUCUGCUGUGGUUACGAGGGAGACAAGGUCCCUAUUUUCAGGGGCUGCUCAGUCCUCUGGCCAGUACCGGUGUGUCCUCUGCAGCGGAAGGUUGGAUCCAGGAGGAUGACUCCAGGUGACAAGUUGCUUGCCUUCCUCCCGUGUUUCUCAUUUUCUCGCUCUGUCUCUUUAGUGUGUUGGCCAACGCUCUCUCUUAAUCUGUCCUUUCCUUUCCUUGUGCCAUCUCCCUUCUUAGGACACAGGCAGGCCUGCGAGAUGUGCAUCUCCACAGGUUAGGUCUUGAAAGCCCUGGAGUAGUAGGAGGGGACGAAAACCAUGCGGGGUAGUGGGUGCGAGAGUGGAGCAGUGACUGUCAGUGUUGAAUCGGUUUCUGUUCAAGUGGGGCUGAUGUAGAUGGGUGGAAGAGGGAGGCAGGAUUGAGGGCAACAUUUCAAGCACCAUUAGAACUGUGUGUAGAGAUGGCGCAUGCUUGGCUUUUGCAGCUGCACUUCCAGAGGAAUUGUCCAGGAGCUCGAGCCGGAGGAGAAACUGGCAGAGGUGGAUCUGAGCAGCUUGGACACGGUUCUAACCAGACAGGAACAAUCCUCAGCUUUCUGCCUUCUGAACAACUGUCUGUGAGUAAGAGGUACAGACACCCUGUUAGCUGGGGCUGGUUUGUCAGAAGAGUUUCCUGACUAGCUGGGGAUACAAGGGAGACAAGGUCCCCAUUUUCAGGGGCUUGUCAUUGCUCUGUUCACAAGCAGCGUGUCCUCCGCAGGAGAAGGUUGGAUCCAGGAGGAUGACCCCAGAUGCUGCACUUCCAGAGGAAUUGUCCAGGAGCUCGAGCCGGAGGA